CGCAUAGUGGAUUGUACCAUGAGCAAGUCCUUCUCCCAUAUGUUCUCCUCUGUCUCCCAUCUGACGCUGAACCCAAUCCUCCCGGUCGACUCCCCCGCCAGCGUCGACACAGUUCCCUUCUCUCAGUCCACUCCUCCGCCGGCGCCGAACCCCUCUUCUCCUUCCCCCAUCUCAGUAAUCUAACCUCAAAAUCGAAUUCUUGAGCUGGGAGCGAAAGCGACGACAUGAUCUCUUCUCCGACCGGCGGCGGAUCCGUAGCAGCGCUUGGCAGUUCCCUUUUUGGCAUUCCCCUGUUACCGGGACCCUAAGGUCCCCGACCCCAGCACCAUCGCCAUCAUGGACGGCUUCCUCUGUACGAAGAGUGCUUUGAUGGACGUGUUAUGAGCUCAUGAAUUUUAUCCCGAGAGUAUGAAAUCCGAGAAUGAAUGGCUUGAUAUCCUGUAUUUCGGUUCGUCGAUGCACAUAACUGUUGCCCAUAAUCAAUUGCUCCGUUUCAAAAAUUAGGUUCAAUAGCUAUAAAUCUUUGUCAUUGUCAUGCAUUGGAUGAGCAAGGGGCAAACAUCUAUAAGCAGGCAGUUCAUUUAAAUAUCUAUAAAGGAGACCAAUUUGCAAAGUGAAGUAUGUUAAUGUUCAUAUGUUUUAUAGCGCAUGUAAAUGUAUUUAUUUGACCAGUAGUUUAAUACAAUACUAAGCAUCUGCUAUUUUCUACUUAUGCUCAAGGAAUUAAAGGAGAUCUUAAUAUGACAAUCCAUACUGAA